GGAUGUGAGGGCAAUCCAGCUGUGAAUCUAACACCCCAUGAAUCGCCAGGGUUGACUGGGCUGGUCUGGCUGGCUAGGCAGGUGUUCCCUUCUUCCCUCACCACUCCAUGUGGGUUCUCCCCACUCCGCCCCCCGGAAGCUGCUCGCACGGUGGAAGAGGAUGACCUUUCCUGAAUAGCAGUCUUCAGUACCAGUCUUCAGUCAAGGGUAUAUGAGCAGCUGAGCUCGCCUGCUAGAAACUCCAAAACCAAGACGCUGCAGGUUCUUGCUGGGCAUGGUGGUGCACUCCUUUAAACCCAGCACUUUGGGAGGCAGAGGUAAGAGGAUCCCUGUGAGU
rnacentral:snRNA from 1 species